rnacentral:rRNA from 1 species
GAUGAACGCUGGCGGCGUGCCUAACACAUGCAAGUCGAGCGAGAAUGUUUUAAUGGAAUCUUCGGAUGAAGUUAAAACAGGAAAGCGGCGGACGGGUGAGUAACGCGUAGGCAACCUACCCUAUACAGAAGGAUAGCCUUGGGAAACUGGGAAUAAUACUUCAUAAAACUCUAACAUCGCAUGAUGAAUGAGUCAAAAUUCAGGUGGUAUAGGAUGGGCCUGCGUCUGAUUAGCUAGUUGGUAAGGUAAUGGCUUACCAAGGCGACGAUCAGUAGCCGACCUGAGAGGGUGAUCGGCCACACUGGAACUGAGACACGGUCCAGACUCCUACGGGAGGCAGCAGUGGGGAAUAUUGCACAAUGGGCGAAAGCCUGAUGCAGCAACGCCGCGUGAACGAUGAAGGCCUUCGGGUCGUAAAGUUCUGUUCUAAGGGAAGAAUAAAUGACGGUACCUUAGAAGAAAGCCCCGGCUAACUACGUGCCAGCAGCCGCGGUAAUACGUAGGGGGCAAGCGUUAUCCGGAAUCAUUGGGCGUAAAGGGUGCGUAGCGGUUAUGUAAGUUAGAGGUGAAAGGCUACGGCUCAACCGUAGUAAGCCUUUAAAACUGCAUAACUUGAGUGCAGGAGAGGAGAGUGGAAUUCCUAGUGUAGCGGUGAAAUGCGUAGAUAUUAGGAGGAACACCAGUGGCGAAGGCGACUCUCUGGACUGUAACUGACGCUGAGGCACGAAAGCGUGGGGAGCGAACAGGAUUAGAUACCCUGGUAGUCCACGCCGUAAACGAUGAAUGCUAGGUGUCGGGGGUUACCCCCCUUGGUGCCGCAGCUAACGCAUUAAGCAUUCCGCCUGGGGAGUACGGUCGCAAGACUGAAACUCAAAGGAAUUGACGGGGACCCGCACAAGCAGCGGAGCAUGUGGUUUAAUUCGAAGCAACGCGAAGAACCUUACCAGGACUUGACAUCCUUUGCAUGAACCUUAAUCGGUGAAAUCCCUUCGGGGACAAAGAGACAGGUGGUGCAUGGUUGUCGUCAGCUCGUGUCGUGAGAUGUUGGGUUAAGUCCCGCAACGAGCGCAACCCUUGUCUUUAGUUGCCAGCAUGUAAUGAUGGGCACUCUAGAGAGACUGCCGGGGAUAACUCGGAGGAAGGUGGGGAUGACGUCAAAUCAUCAUGCCCCUUAUGUCCUGGGCUACACACGUGCUACAAUGGCUGGUACAACGGGAAGCGAAAGAGUAAUCUGGAGCAAAUCCAUAAAGCCAGUCCCAGUUCGGAUUGUGGGCUGAAACUCGCCCACAUGAAGUUGGAGUUGCUAGUAAUCGUGAAUCAGAAUGUCGCGGUGAAUGCGUUCCCGGGUCUUGUACACACCGCCCGUCACACCAUGGAAGUUGGGGGCACCCGAAGUCAGCUAUCUAACCGCAAGGAGGAAGCUGCCGAAGGUGAAAUCAAUGACUAGGGUG